rnacentral:lncRNA from 1 species
AUGUCCCCAUCCCCAUCGCUGUCCCAUACCUGUCCUGUCCCCAUGUCCCCAACCCUGUGUCUCCAUUCUUGUACCCCUGUCCCCAACCCCAUCCCCAUGUCCCCAUUCCUGUCCCUGUGUCUCCAUGUGCCCAUCCCCAUGUCCCCAUCCCCAUUUCCCAGUCUCGCUGUCACUGUCCCCAUCCCUGCCUCAUCCUCAACCCACCUCCAUGUCCCCAUCCCUGUCCCCACAUCCCUGUGUCUCCAUCCUUGUCCCUGUGUCCCUCUACCUGUCCCCAUUCCCCAGUGUCCCCGCGUCCCCAUCCCACCUGGCAGAUGGACUCCAGCGUCUCCGUGUACUUCUCCUCCGUCUGCCAGAUCUCCUGGAGGCAGCAGAGCUGCUUGUCCACCCCGGGUGCCUUGUGCUGCGGGGACAGGGCAGGCUCGUGAGGGACCCAGGUGUCCGGGAGGGACUCAGGCAUCCGGGGAACCCAGGCGUCCAGGCACUCACCGCGGGCCCGGGAGCCUCCGUCCGCAUGAGGUCCUCAUAGAUGUCAUCGCCGUCAGUGCCUUCGGCCUCGACGCAGUCGUAGAGAUCGUCGUCCUCCUCCGCCGUGUCGCUGCGCCAGGCCCAGUCCUGCCCCACUGCCACAUCGCCGGGGCAGGACCCCCGAAGUACCCCGAGAACCCCCCGGUACCCCCCAGAACCCCAACAUACCCCCAAGUACCCUCCAGUACCCCAAAGUGCCACCCACAUGCCCCGAAGUACCCCGUGGUAUCUCAAAGUACCCCCAAAGAACAUCCCGGAACCCCAACAUACCCCCAGUGCACCCCCAAGUACCCUCCAGUACCCCAAAGUGCCACCCACAUGCCCCGAAGUACCCCGUGGUAUCUCAAAGUACCCCCAAAGAACAUCCCGGAACCCCAACAUACCCCCAGUGCACCCCCAAGUACCCUCCAGUACCCCAAAGUGCCACCCAAGUACCCCCAAGUACCCUGUGGUACCUCAAAGUACCCCCAAAGACCAUCCCGGAACUCCAACAUACCCCCAGUGUACCCCCAAGUACCCUCCAGUACCCCAAAGUGCUGCCCAAGUACCCCCAAGUAG